rnacentral:rRNA from 1 species
AUGGCUACUACCUCAUACGAGACUCUAUGUGUGAUCAGGUGCUUGGACUGGAGCCACGGGACAGCUACAUUCAAUGGCCAAGAUGGCGAGGACACCAAGCAUGAAGAUCAAGAAGAAGAGCUGCUUUGGAAGCUACAGGCCCCAGACGAUCGGCCUGGCCUAGACGUUAGACCCUUGGAGGACGCUACAGCCAAGGGAAGAGAAGCCAGCCAGAGCUGCAGGCUUCGGAUGACCUGCCCAGUCCGGACGUCCGGCCACUCCCAGGCUCCGGACGACCGAGCCCUUCCGGACAUCCGGCACUUCUCCAACGAAACCAAAUCUAUGGAAUUCUGA